rnacentral:tRNA from 1 species
GAUCGUGUAGCUCAGUUGGUCAGAGCACCAGUCUUAUGAGCUGGUGGUCGAGGGUUCAAGUCCCUCUUCGAUCA